CCUGGGAACUGCAUCUGUGACUGCAUAGCUAGAGUACGGUAGAGGGGGAUGGAAUUCCGCGUGUAGCAGUGAAAUGCGUAGAUAUGCGGAGGAACACCGAUGGCGAAGGCAAUCCCCUGGACCUGUACUGACGCUCAUGCACGAAAGCGUGGGGGAGCAAACAGG
rnacentral:rRNA from 1 species